rnacentral:rRNA from 1 species
CGCAAGCCUGACGGAGCAAUACCGCGUGAGGGAGGAAGGUCUGUGGAUUGUAAACCUCUUUUGAUAGGGAAGAAGUUCUGACGGUACCUAUCGAAUCAGCAUCGGCUAACUCCGUGCCAGCAGCCGCGGUAAUACGGAGGAUGCAAGCGUUAUCCGGAAUUAUUGGGCGUAAAGCGUCCGUAGGUGGUUGUUCAAGUCUAUUGUCAAAGCCUGGGGCUUAACCCUGGAGAGGCGGUGGAAACUGGAUAACUAGAGUGCGGUAGGGGCAGAGGGAAUUCCCAGUGUAGCGGUGAAAUGCGUAGAUAUUGGGAAGAACACCGGUGGCGAAAGCGCUCUGCUGGGCCUGCACUGACACUGAGGGACGAAAGCUAGGGGAGCG